GCCCGGAUGGCGGAAUUGGCAGACGCGCUAGAUUCAGGAUCUAGUGGGGGCAACCCUGUGGGAGUUCAAAUCUCCCUCCGGGCA
rnacentral:tRNA from 1 species